AUGAACGCUAGCGGCAGGCUUAAUACAUGCAAGUCGAGGGGCAGCAGGGAUAGCAAUAUUCGCUGGCGACCGGCGCACGGGUGCGUAACACGUAUACAAUCUGCCUUUUACUGGGGGAUAGCCUUUCGAAAGAGAGAUUAAUACCCCAUAAUAGAUUCUUGGGCAUCCAAGGAUUUUGAAAGCUCCGGCGGUAAGAGAUGAGUAUGCGUCUGAUUAGCUAGUAGGUGAGGUAACGGCUCACCUAGGCAACGAUCAGUAGGGGAUCUGAGAGGACUAACCCCCACACGGAUACUGAGACACGGAUCCGACUCCUACGGGAGGCAGCAGUAAGGAAUAUUGGACAAUGCCCGCAAGGGUGAUCCAGCCAUGCCGCGUGCAGGAAGACGGCCCUAUGGGUUGUAAACUGCUUUUAUACAAGAGAAAACCUCCCUACGUGUAGGGAGCUGAUAGUAUUGUAGGAAUAAGCAUCGGCUAACUUCGU
rnacentral:rRNA from 1 species